UACGAGGGGGGCAAGCGUUGUUCGGAAUCACUGGGCUUAAAGGGCGCGUAGGCGGGUGCUCAAGUCCGGGGUGAAAUCCCACAGCUCAACUGUGGAACUGCCUCGGAUACUGGGCGUCUCGAGUGUGGUAGGGGUAUGCGGAACUAUCGGUGGAGCGGUGAAAUGCGUUGAUAUCGAUAGGAACUCCGGUGGCGAAGGCGGCAUACUGGACCACCACUGACGCUGAUGCGCGAAAGCCAGGGGAGCAAACGGG
rnacentral:rRNA from 1 species